rnacentral:rRNA from 1 species
CGACGUGAGGGAACCUGCCUUGGGGAGGGGGAUAACAACUCCGAAAGGAGUGCUAAUACCGCAUGAUGCAGUUGGGUCGCAUGGCUCUGACUGCCAAAGAUUUAUCGCUCUGAGAUGGCCUCGCGUCUGAUUAGCUAGUAGGCGGGGUAACGGCCCACCUAGGCGACGAUCAGUAGCCGGACUGAGAGGUUGACCGGCCACAUUGGGACUGAGACACGGCCCAG